GACGAACGCUGGCGGCGUGCUUAACACAUGCAAGUCGAACGGAAAGGCCCUUCGGGGUACUCGAGUGGCGAACGGGUGAGUAACACGUGGGUGAUCUGCCCUGCACUUUGGGAUAAGCCUGGGAAACUGGGUCUAAUACCGAAUAGGACCACGCGCUUCAUGGUGUGUGGUGGAAAGCUUUUGCGGUGUGGGAUGGGCCCGCGGCCUAUCAGCUUGUUGGUGGUGUAAUGGCCUACCAAGGCGACGACGGGUAGCCGGCCUGAGAGGGUGACCGGCCACACUGGGACUGAGAUACGGCCCAGACUCCUACGGGAGGCAGCAGUGGGGAAUAUUGCACAAUGGGCGCAAGCCUGAUGCAGCGACGCCGCGUGAGGGAUGACGGCCUUCGGGUUGUAAACCUCUUUCAAUAGGGACGAAGCGCAAGUGACGGUACCUAUAGAAGAAGCACCGGCCAACUACGUG
rnacentral:rRNA from 1 species